rnacentral:rRNA from 1 species
GACGAACGCUGGCGGCGCGCCUAACACAUGCAAGUCGAACGAGAGAUGAGGAGCUUGCUCUUCAAAUCGAGUGGCGAACGGGUGAGUAACGCGUGAGGAACCUGCCUCAAAGAGGGGGACAACAGUUGGAAACGACUGCUAAUACCGCAUAAGCCCACGGCUCGGCAUCGAGCAGAGGGAAAAGGAGCAAUCCGCUUUGAGAUGGCCUCGCGUCCGAUUAGCUAGUUGGUGAGGUAACGGCCCACCAAGGCGACGAUCGGUAGCCGGACUGAGAGGUUGAACGGCCACAUUGGGACUGAGACACGGCCCAGACUCCUACGGGAGGCAGCAGUGGGGAAUAUUGCACAAUGGGGGAAACCCUGAUGCAGCGACGCCGCGUGGAGGAAGAAGGUCUUCGGAUUGUAAACUCCUGUUGUUGAGGAAGAUAAUGACGGUACUCAACAAGGAAGUGACGGCUAACUACGUGCCAGCAGCCGCGGUAAAACGUAGGUCACAAGCGUUGUCCGGAAUUACUGGGUGUAAAGGGAGCGCAGGCGGGAGAACAAGUUGGAAGUGAAAUCCAUGGGCUCAACCCAUGAACUGCUUUCAAAACUGUUUUUCUUGAGUAGUGCAGAGGUAGGCGGAAUUCCCGGUGUAGCGGUGGAAUGCGUAGAUAUCGGGAGGAACACCAGUGGCGAAGGCGGCCUACUGGGCACCAACUGACGCUGAGGCUCGAAAGUGUGGGUAGCAAACAGGAUUAGAUACCCUGGUAGUCCACACCGUAAACGAUGAUUACUAGGUGUUGGAGGAUUGACCCCUUCAGUGCCGCAGUUAACACAAUAAGUAAUCCACCUGGGGAGUACGACCGCAAGGUUGAAACUCAAAGGAAUUGACGGGGGCCCGCACAAGCAGUGGAGUAUGUGGUUUAAUUCGACGCAACGCGAAGAACCUUACCAAGUCUUGACAUCCCUUGACGAACAUAGAAAUAGUUUUUCUCUUCGGAGCAAGGAGACAGGUGGUGCAUGGUUGUCGUCAGCUCGUGUCGUGAGAUGUUGGGUUAAGUCCCGCAACGAGCGCAACCCUUAUGGUCAGUUACUACGCAAGAGGACUCUGGCCAGACUGCCGUUGACAAAACGGAGGAAGGUGGGGAUGACGUCAAAUCAUCAUGCCCUUUAUGACUUGGGCUACACACGUACUACAAUGGCGUUAAACAAAGAGAAGCAAGACCGCGAGGUGGAGCAAAACUCAGAAACAACGUCCCAGUUCGGACUGCAGGCUGCAACUCGCCUGCACGAAGUCGGAAUUGCUAGUAAUCGUGGAUCAGCAUGCCACGGUGAAUACGUUCCCGGGCCU